GAAACGGAUGCUAAUACCCAUAGGUGGAUUGGUCGCAUGACGAAUUCAUUAAAGGUGGCUUUGCUACCACUCAUGGAUAGCCUCGCGGCGUAUUAGCUAGUUGGUAAGGUAAUGGCUUACCAAGGCAGUGAUACGUAGCCGACUUGAGAGGGUGAUCGGCCACACUGGGACUGAGACACGGCCCAG
rnacentral:rRNA from 1 species